CCUACGGGUGGCAGCAGUGGGGAAUAUUGCACAAUGGGGGGAACCCUGAUGCAGCGACGCCGCGUGGGUGAGGCAGUACUUCGGUAUGUAAAGCCCUAUCAGCAGGGAAGAAAAUGACGGUACCUGACUAAGAAGCCCCGGCUAACUACGUGCCAGCCGCCGCGGUAAUACGUAGGGGGCAAGCGUUAUCCGGAUUUAUUGGGUUUAAAGGGUGCGUAGGCGGACAGUCAAGUCAGCGGUAAAAAUGCGGUGCGCAACGCCGUACAGCCGUUGAAACUGGCAGUCUUGAGUGGGCGAGAAGUAUGCGGAAUGCGUGGUGUAGCGGUGAAAUGCAUAGAUAGCACGCAGAACUCCGAUUGCGAAGGCAGCAUACCGGCGCCCGACUGACGCUGAGGCACGAAAGCGUGGGUAUCGAACAGGAUUAGAUACCCGAGUAGUC
rnacentral:rRNA from 1 species